rnacentral:misc_RNA from 1 species
ACGAUGCGCCGGCUCAACAGAACGAGUGUUUUAGGCUCAUCGCUUCACCAGUCACCACCCCGACAGAGACCGCCACCGUUGUCAAGCAUGUUGGGUGCACCGAGUCCGGCAGCAGGCGAAUUCAGACGCCGUCUUGCACGGCUUCAGGGGUGAAGGGCAGACUAGGCAGCAGAGGCACUAACGGGCCGAAGAUCCUGGCCGCCCUCUCCGCGCCGAGGGGCAGCACCAGUCGCAAGAACCCUCAAAAAACUCGGAAGACAGGGCUGCCCGUCGGGUGGCCCGCUGAUCGGCAGGUGGCACUGGAAUACCGUUUCCGAUAAACCGCGCAACACGGCUGCCGCGCUCACGCCUCGCUCUGCCUCGGGCCCUCUUCUCCACAUCCGCUCACGCUGCCCUUUCCCGCUAAGUGUCUCCUCUAUCUCUCUUUUCCCUCGCCUCUCCACGUGUUUUGCGGUGAGGCGUUGAAGGAGGGCAUGCCCCCAUCCUUCGAGAGAUCGAAUACCACCGGCGUCUGCGGCGUGGCGGGGGUGGCUGCAACGCCAAUGGAGGCAUGCUACACGUCUUCGGCGAGGAGGGCGCGAACGGGUGGGGAAGAGGAUGAAGGGAUGUCGCCGUUUCGGCGGGAGCUGCAGCGCUUCGGGACGCACCGCAACCACCCGUAAACAACAACAGAAUAACGCACACGCGCCCGCGUGCUUCGGAGGAUCAGCGCUGGUGGCUGCGCGUGGGCACACACACGCACACGCAUACGCACGAACUUCCUUCGAAGUCGUUUCCCCGUCUCGCAUUCUUGUCUUUGUGGUGCACCCCUGACAUGAACACCACUGCCGGCGUCGCUCCGUGUCCACCGGUGGCGCUCCUGCCAUGGCACCUCUUCACCACAGCCCACCCGCUCUCUGUCCCCUCCCGUGCAUGACACGCACACUCUCCCCCCCCACACACACGCACACACGUCAGUGCGUACGUGUUGUACAAGUACGCGCGUCUUGCUCCCCUUGCAUCUUCCCGUUACGAUCGCGGCCCGCGUUGGCGUGUGUGUGUCGCGUCCGUGCCACUGCUCUUGCCUGCCUCGCUUGCGCGCUGCGUUCUCUCCCGCACUUACUUUGUUCGGGCACUCUCUUGGGCGCCGUUGGGCACGCCGCAUCGCGCUCAUCCACGAUGCCUUCGCGCUCGCAGGGGACGGCCUCGCUGGGCGGCAGCGUGGCUGAUGAGGAGCACUCCUUGCGUGGGCGCCACGGCGCGGGCUGUCGCGGUUGCGUCGGCGAGGAUUUCCACGGACGCCCUGCCUCCCGCCCCCUCUCGCCCUCCGCUGCUCCCGAGCGUCCCCGUCCACUGUCGCGCGGCGUCGACUCGUCAAGGAACCUGUCCUUUAAGUUUGGCGAAGACGCGCGCUUCUCCGGAUCGGAACCCUACUCAGGCCGUGCCACGGCAGCCCCCGCCGCAACGGGGAAGGGCGGUGGUAGCGCAGAUGCCGGUGCCGCACUCGCCGGCGGAUGUACGGCAGGUGCGGAGUGCCCCAGCAGAGGCGGUGGCAACGCUGCCAUGGCUAGCUUCGUGAGCGAACUCCACGUUACGCACAACGGCAUCGCAAUACCGCCCAUUCACGGAAUACCACGCCCCGGAUGGCUGCCGUCCGAGAAACCGGCCGAGUAUGCGAAGGUGAAGGACUGUCGAGCACCGCAGCGGCUGCGGAUGCCGGCCAAGGGAGCUUUCUCCAACGCGACCAGUCUCGCCGUCCUUCAGCGGGUGCAGUCGCUGGUGAACGAACGCCAGGUAGAGCCGGCAGGGUGGACGCCGAUCGAGCCAUCGCCGAUGCGCGUCGGCGCUGUCGGCGACGACGAUACAGCGGAGGAGGGGUCCGUGGCGCAGAUGCACCGGCGCGCCGCAUCCCCGGAUGGAAAAUGGCCAGAAGUGGAAUGGGCUGCGAGUGACCCUCGCGUCAGUGCCGCACGCUCACCCUCUCUGGCCCCCCACGGGUUUUCCGAGGCGUUGUUGAUGCCAUCGGACGCGAUGAUGGUUGCUGAGAAGUCGGAGGGCGAUGCAGCAGCGAUGGCGACGACACACGCCAUGCAGCACGCCGAGGACCGAGGCGGCGUAGAAGAGAAAGCGGCGCGCGUUCGGAGCUUCAUGCCGGUGCGGCAACACCUGCGGCAGCAGCAGCAGCAACAAUACCAUCACGAGGGCCGGACAACCCUAGCACACGCGCGGGCGCCGACACGCUCUGCAUCGCCCCCUAAACUCCCCUGUAAUGAAGGUAACAUCCAAAAUGAUAGUGAUAACGAACAGUCGCCCCACCGCCAGCGCACGGCAGCGCCGAUCGCAUCCGCGCGCUGCGGCGACUCGAUGGACGAUAUUGCUCCGUGCGCGAUCCGAACCGCCGCCUCGGCACAGCGCUCCCUUGCCUGCAAACUCACCUCCGGCAGGUCGCAAGACCCGCCGUCUGCCUAUCGCCCUGAUAGAGCCCCCGCACCCGCGGCGGCGAAAGUCACGGCUAGUGCGGACCGCAAGCCCUCGGCACGAAUGCCGCGUGGCUUCGAGCUUUUCAUUGAGAAGGGACAGCAGCGCCGCGCCGAGGCUGAGCGCGCACAACACGCACGCGCUGCCGAGGCUGCCGGCGAGCCCUUGGCUGCCGCCUCUGCGCAGCAUCAUAGCAACGGCGACACUGCGCCCUCGACGGGCGACCGGGCCACCACGCGGCUGCGCAUGAUGUCGGUUAUGCCGCUGCCACGCGGGUACGAGAUGCACGCGCGGCAAGGGCAGUCACGACGUGCCAAAGCGGUGCGCGAGGAGGAGGAGCGCCGUACCGGCGACAUCGUCAGCUGCCCGCACCAUCCGCGGGUGAGCCGCCACAGAAUCGUGUCCUCUUCCUCCGCACACAGCGCCCGCGCCAUACGGCGAUCCCCACACCCCCAACCGCACACAUCAGCGGCAGCAGAGGAAGACGGCGCACCGACUGCCGAGACACUGCCCCUGUCGGUCUUUGAGCGCCUCACCAGGAAAGCCGAAGGACGCGAUCAUCGCCCGCUACAGCUCGAGGAGCGCUGCGCGCCAUCGCACCAGUCGCAUUCCUUCAAGUUCGCGGCUGCUGCUGCAGCCGCGGCGGAGGAUGAGCAUGGUGGUUCCAUGAAAGGAGGCGCUGCGGCUGCCUACAAGCAUAGAGCGGCCCGGCAAACGAGGGAAGGAGGUGCGCAGCGCCACAAGGCUCGUGGUGCUGGUCGCAACGUUUUCGACGACCUCCACGCGCAAGCACGCAAGGGUGCGCAGGCCGCUCCUGCCGCAUCCGCAUCCCCCAGGAGCCUCGGCUCACAGGUGCAUGGGAGGGGUGCAGCAUCUGGGCGCGCGUCGGCGAUGGCGCCGAACAAAACGGAGACGGGAUCGGCCGCAGCGGGCGAGGCGGGGGCAGAGGUGACGGCGCACAGGAGGUCGCAAGCGGAGAUUGAGCAGCACCUGGCACAUAUGAUGAGCCGCGAGGCGGAGCACCGCGCCAAGUGGGAGAAGCACCUCGUGGCCCAAGCGGCCGAGGAGGAGCAGACUAGAAAUGGGCACGUGGUGCUGAACCCAAAGACGGACGAGUUGGCUGAGCGGGCGCGGACUCGGUACCGCAUUCGCGAGGAGCGGGAAAAGCAGCAGCGUGAGCGUGAGGAGGUGCAGAAGGCGGCGGCAGCAGCAAAGAGGGCGCCUCAGCGCAGCGCAAGCCAACGCCAGGCACCUCGGUUUCCGAAGCCUGCCGAGGAAGGCGAGGAGGCAGCACACAAGGCUGUGUGGGGGACAGAGCCGACACCAACAGCAGCAGCACCGGUCAGCUGUGCCGCCACGGACUACUUCUACAAGCGCCAGCUGCACGCAAAGGAGCGCAAGCAGCGCCACCUUGAGCAGCUGCGGCUGGAGCGUGCCGAGGAGGAGCUCAGCGAGUGCACGUUUCACCCACGAAUCAACGAGGCGGCUGGGAAGAUGGCGCAGCGCCUUGUUGUGGAGUCCUUCCAGGGCGACUACGUGGUCAACGUGCCCGAUAGAUUCGCGCCAGCCACGACGCCAUGGAAGCAGGUGGCCGGCUCUGACGGGCGCGCUGGGAGCGUGCCGCAGCUCGCCGAGUACUGCGACGCUCACGGUCAUAGCCUGCUCGCCAGCUCGCGCAGCGGCAGCUUCUUUGGGGACCUGAGCCGAGCAUCGCCACCGGCGCACUACGACGUGCCGUGCCCCUCGGAGACGCCGCGUCCGCGCUCGGCGGAGCGCGGGCUCGACUCUUGUGCUGGGAUGGAUUAUGACGAUGAUCACAUCCACAGGAACACCGAGAGCUCCACCUACGGUGUGCACGCCGUGGCGUCGCUGGAAAGGGAGGUGACGACGCUGCCAUGUCAUCCGUCUGGCCCGCUGGCGGAACAGCUCCGGAGCCUGGAAGAGAUGCUGCGCGAGUGGAAGGAGAUCGAACGCGAGUGCUCGCCCAUCGCAAAGCAGCCCUGCAAGGCCGGCAUUGUCGAGUAGGUCGAGCAGGUGCCGCCGAAGCAGGAAAAGAGUGAAGGCGAAAGGGGAGGGGGAAGGGCGGACGGCGCCGCAUCGCGGUUAGGCAGACAUGCUGCCCUCCGUGUACGCGCCGCGUUCUGCGCGAGCGCUCACGCCCUUCCUUCUUCCUCUCCUCACAGCCUACCGCACGGCUCGGGCUUGCGGGUGGGAGGAGGAGGGCGCCGUUGCACAGCCACACGUCUAAGAGCGGCUCUUCUCUCUGUCUGGUGCGGUUUGCUGCUCCGUUUCUGCGGGUGCGCGCGUGUAUGUACGCUGGGCACGCCGGCCGACACACCAACAGGACACCCUUCUCUCUUCUGCACCGCAGCGACACGCGUCCUCAUCGCUAAAUUUCUGUUUAUGCGUUUUCCAUGUCUCUGAAGAGUUGGCAAUGAGGGCGCUCCGGCAAACGGUGCCUGACACGUCCCUCUCCCGUCCUCCGCUCCCCUCCGUGACGCCGGUGCAGCAGCGGCUGCUGCUGCGCGCGUCGUGGCCACAACCAUUGGGGAGGAGGGGGGAGGGAUAGGCAGGCGGAUAUCCGUUGAUGUUUCCGUUUUCUGCGGCGGCUGCCCUGUGUCUGUGUACGCGCCUGUGUGCCUGUCGCCCGUGUGCGAGUGGCUCCUCACGUCUUUUUCCGGCUGUUGCGGCCAGCGAUGUCGUCACGGUGAUGGGGUCAUGGCGCGUGCAUUUUCACUCGGCCCGCCCACCCGCCAGACGGAAAGCCUGCUGACGGUCCUGCGCCCUUCAGCUGGCCGCCUUGGCUCCCCCCUCCCCCGAGUGCCUCCCCUCUUCCUCUGCACCCAUCUCCCGCGCGAUCUCUGGCACACCCCUCAGCGCACACGAACGCAGCGAGCCUUCAUCAUCGGCAUCGUCUUAUGCUUUGCGCAUGCGUGCAGGUGUGUGCGCUGGGGCACGCGUAUCCGCCUUUUUCAUGUUGCUGCCACAUAUUGUUUUUCCUUUUUUGGACCUGCUCCACAGGAGUUGCUGAUCACGAUGCGGAUGGAACCCUCGCCAGCGCCUCUGCCACACCACCUCCCCUCCAUUGCACGCAUGAGCUUGUGAAGAGACUUGCGUGUGAGAGUGUGCCGUUGUCGAUGCACCUCCCCCCUUCACCCCCACCCACCCCUCCCUUCUGUUGGCGCGUGCGUCAUCAACGACGUGCCGAGCCCAAAACUCUGUACCGCGGCAUUAAAUCUCUUGACAUCUUCUUGUGGUGUGUGCUUGCGUGUGCGUGUGUGCCGCGACGACGUGGGAGGGAGGGGGGAGCGCAGAGCGGUGUGGCGCUACGCAUGUCGGCCAUCAGAUCCUGGAUGGCGUUGCGUCGGAGCCACCCGCGGCCGCGGACACGUUUGUGGCACCCUUAUGACAGGCGAAGCGUCCGCGUGCCUCGAACCUGUCCCACCCACACCCCGGCCUUCACAGCGCCCGCUGCUGGUGUGGCGGGGAGCCUGAGAGCCGCCCGCCCCCCCACCCCGAGCGGGGAUGCGCCAAGGCGGCGGACCUGCGAGGCGGCGGUGCGGGCAGAGGUUGAGGCAGGGGCCGUGCGCCGAUGGCUGCGUCGGCGCAUUGCUGUGCCGCGUGUGUCUACGGCCGGGCGUCGAGUGGCGCGGCGUUGAGCUCGUGCUCUGCGGCAAAUACAUGGACGCGUGAAAGAAAUGUAACGCUGUACCUCUUUGUUGACGUCUCUGUGUGUGCUUGUGCAUGACAGUGUCUGUGCGGUGGCGGCGCAGUUCUGCCGCACACAUCUCACAUCAUCGUCAUAGCUGCCGGCUGCUGCAGCGGUGUGCGUUCCUUCCUCCACCGCACUGUUAUCACGAGCGUCAAUACUACGAAAAAAAAAAAAACACUCUGACACCUACACACACACGCGCACGCCACCUCUUCCACCCCACCACCCGACGCACCCGCCUCAGCGAUAUUGACGCCUGUCUCGCUUUCCUUCCAUGCAUCGAAUGUCUCUCGUGAGCCCACUCCGCUCAGGCCUCCGUCUGCGUGUCGUUCUGUGCACCGAUGCGAGCAUCGACCGCAUGCGCUACGGUGCAGAUAUGCACGCAGACGCCGGCACGACAUCCGCACGACACCCCGUACACGCAUCCGAACAUGACGCUGUGCCACAUGCCUCAUCUGAUGAGGAGACGGAUGAGCUUCGCUGAUCGCAGCGCAAAGGAGGGGGGGUGGGCGUCACAAGUGGUGCGCCCUGACCGCAUCCUGUUCUUGCCGUGGUCUCAGGGGCACCACCCGCCGCGGCCAUCGUCACCACAGCCGCCUCACCGAACCUCAUCUACGCGGGCGUAUAUGCGCACCCCUACCCCUGUAUGUCUUUCACAGCAUCGGCGUUGGACGCGCUUACGCCAUUACGCUGUCGCCGCCGUUCUCUCACCCUUCCACGCCAACCCCCUCCCCGUUCAUCUCUCGUGCGUCUCCCCGCAUUCUGAAUACGGUGUGCGCCAUCCUCACAAG